rnacentral:rRNA from 1 species
GUGGGGAAUAUUGCACAAUGGGCGAAAGCCUGAUGCAGCGACGCCGCGUGAGGGAUGAAGGCCUUCGGGUUGUAAACCUCUUUCGUCAGGGAAGAAGCCUUUCGGGGUGACGGUACCUGGAGAAGAAGCACCGGCUAACUACGUGCCAGCAGCCGCGGUAAUACGUAGGGUGCGAGCGUUGUCCGGAAUUAUUGGGCGUAAAGAGCUUGUAGGCGGUUUGUCGCGUCUGCCGUGAAAAUCCAAGGCUUAACUUUGGACGUGCGGUGGGUACGGGCAGGCUAGAGUGUGGUAGGGGAGACUGGAAUUCCUGGUGUAGCGGUGAAAUGCGCAGAUAUCAGGAGGAACACCGAUGGCGAAGGCAGGUCUCUGGGCCAUAACUGACGCUGAGAAGCGAAAGCAUGGGGAGCGAACAGGAUUAGAAACCCCGGUAGUCC